UGGUGAUGGUGGUGGUGGAGAUGAUGGUACUGGUGAUGGUGGUGAUGAUUGUGAUGGUGAUGAUGGUCAUGAUGAUUAUGGUGGUUAGUUGUAUUGCUUAUCUAUUGCUGUGUAAAUUGCCUGAAAACACGUAGCUAAAAAACACGAAUAUUUAUUAUCCUGCACAGUUGCUAAGGGACCCUCGAAACUUGAGAGCGGCUUAACUGAGUGGUUCUGGCUCACGGUCUCUGGUGAAGCUGCGGUCAGGCUGGCAGCAGCGGUUGCAUCUCCGAGCCUGACUGUGGCCUCUCAGAGGUGCCACCUCCAUCACCCCGAAGCAUCGCCAGGUGCAGCCCAUUCCAGGGGAGGAGACUCCACAGGGGCGUGCAUCCCUGGGGCCACCUCAGGACUCCCGAGCAGACACUGUGCUGUGUCCCUGAGCCUGGGCCUGGGCCUCCCACAGGCCUCCUGCAAUCUCUGCAUUCCCUGAAGAUGACUGCUCUGCUCCCAGGGCCCCUCCAUCCACCAGCGAGGAGGAAGGCAGAGGGGCCAGGCACGGAGCAGGGCUGGCAGGGACCCUGUACCUAGCACCUUGGAAAGGACAGAGACCCAGAUGGAGCCUGUCCCCUCCACACCUGGCCUGGGCACCGCCCCCCGCCCAGCUCUGCCAGAAUAAAUCCUCCCCUAACAACCUCCCGCUGCUGUCCCAGCAUCUGAAGAAUGAACACAGCUGCGCUACCCGAUGGGACAGUUUGUAAUAAAAUUGCUUCUAAAAACAUA